GUGGGGAAUAUUGGACAAUGGGCGAAAGCCUGAUCCAGCCAUGCCGCGUGUGUGAAGAAGGCCUUCGGGUUGUAAAGCUCUUUAGCCGAUGAUUAUAAUGACUGUAGUCGGAAAAUAAGCCCCGGCUAACUUCGUGCCAGCAGCCGCGGUAAUACGAAGGGGGCGAGCGUUAUUCGGAAUCACUGGGCGUAAAGCGUGCGUAGGCGGCUUUGCAAGUUGGGAGUGAAAGCCCAGGGCUCAACCCUGGAAUUGCUCUCAAAACUGCAAGGCUCGAAUUCGGGAGAGGAUAGCGGAAUUGUCAGUGUAGCAGUGAAAUGCGUAGAUAUUGACAGGAACACCAGUGGCGUAAGCGGCUAUCUGGACCGAUAUUGACGCUGAGGCACGAAAGCGUGGGGAUCAAACAGGAUUAGAAACCCGUGUAGUCC
rnacentral:rRNA from 1 species